AUUGAACGCUGGCGGCAGACCUAACACAUGCAAGUCGAGCGCGCGGGGGACGGGUGUGUAAUGUCUGGGAAACUGCCUGUUGGAGGGGGAUAACUCCUGGAAAAGGUAGCUAAUACCGCAUAUCCUCAGAGGUGUCCAGAUGGGAUUAGCUAGUAGGUGGGGUAACGGCUCACCUAGGCGACGAUCCCUAGCUGGUGUGAGAGGAUGACCAGCCACACUGGAACUGAGACACGGUCCAGACUCCUACGGGAGGCAGCAGUGGGGAAGAUUGCACAAUGGGCGCAAGCCUGAUGCAGCCAUGCCGCGUGUGUGAAGAAGGCCUUCGGGUUGUAAAGCACUUUCAGCGGGGAGGCGUUACCCGCAGAAGAAGCACCGGCUAACUCCGUGCCAGCCGCCGCGGUAAUUC
rnacentral:rRNA from 1 species